GGAAGAAGCAUACAGGCGGCAGCGACGAGCCAUGGCCACACACGCAGCGCUCGCGGCGUCCCGCAUUCCGGCCACCGCCCGGCUGCACAGCAAGGCGGCGUCCAAGCAGAGGGUGGACUUCGCCGACUUCUCCGGACUGAGGCCGGGAUCGUGCUCCAUCAGCCACGCCGCGAGGGAGGCGUCCUUCUCCGAUGUCCUUGGCUCGCAGCUCGUCGCCAGGGCUACCGGAGAGAACGCCGUGAGGGCGCCGGCUGAGGCGAAGCUCAAGGUUGCCAUCAACGGCUUCGGCCGCAUUGGCCGCAACUUCCUCCGGUGCUGGCAC
rnacentral:misc_RNA from 1 species